rnacentral:pre_miRNA from 1 species
CUCUUACUCCCUCCGUUCCAAAAUUCUUGUCUUAUAUUCGUCUAGAUACGGAUCUAGACAAAUCUAAGACAAGAAUUUUGGGACGGAGGGAGUAUUAA